AAGUAUAGGAUUGUAUUGGUGCCUAUUUUAUAUGAUGGAUUUCAUUCAUUCUUCUUCCUUUUUUUUCCCGCUUAUUUCUGGUCAGGAUCACAGUGGGUCCAGAACACACCUAAAAGUAUUGGGAGCAUUGGCAGUAACAGCACCAAGACAGGGCACCAGCCCUCCUUGGGCAGUUUAGUACGGCUUCACCUGCCCUGGUUGUUUUUUGAAGGUGGAAGGACUCCCACACAGACACAGAGAGAACAUAUCAAACUCCUCACAGGCAGAAACCAGAGUGAGGAUCGAACCCACCACUCCAAGCGCCUGGAGCACCUGAACACACUACCAGCAGCGCCAUCAUGCCACCCACACAGCUGCAUGCUCUCACUCAGAGGCCACAUUUCCAUGAGCUUGGCUGAGAGGACAAAAAUAAUAAGUGGCCCCACAGACCAAAUCCCACACAGUGCACCCCAUGAUGCAGACUGUGAGGAGCAACAAGACGGAGGGCUGUUUCACGGAUGAAAGUCUGGACCAAGGCCUGAACCAGGGUUCGUGUUUUUUGUACCAGUGUAUACGUUUUAGCUGGUUAGUUUCACAAUGAUUUCACACUGCACUUAACCCUCAGACUCUGGGUCAAUUAUGUAUUCAUGUAUGUUCUUUCUUUUGUAUGUUUUGUUUCACAUAACUCCACAAUUGAGGCGAUUAUGGCCUGUUUUGUGCAUCAGAAUAGACCAUGAACCAGCCAAUAACAAAGUUUACAUGCCAAUGAAACAGUAGCUUAGCACCACCUACUGCAUUGGACAGAAACAGGCUGGAACACAAUUCAGGUCUUAGAAAGUUAAGUAAGCAAACUAAAUGACUAAUGAUAUAUACUGUAAUUUACAAAGAUAUCAAGCUUGGGAGAUGUUGGACCUUUCAACAGAACAACAAUCCCAAGCAUGCCUCCGAUUCUAUCCUGGCUUGGUUGCAGAAGAAGGACCGGAAGAUUCUGGAGUUUCUAUUGCAAUCUCCCAACUAAAAUCCCAUUGCAAAAUCUUUGGUGGGACUUGAAGAGGGCAUUAUCAAUAAGCAUGCAACACAUAAGGUGACAAUGGGGGGAUGACCAUUUAAAUGGCCUGGGGGAAAUAUGUAAUGGCCAGUAUUCAGUCAUUUGUACACCGUUCCUUUAAGAGCUCCUUACGCUAAGUGCUCAGGCACAUAUGUAGCUACGCUGAAAGUGUAUAGAACCAACGUUUGUGUUGUGCUGUACCACGGAGACUGCUGGCCCGAGCCCCUUUCUUUUAUUUAUUUUAUUUAUGUGAGUAAUGCUAUAAAUGUGCUUUGGGGUUGGGGCAGAAGUUGGGGUCAAACUUGGUGGCAUAAUUAACUGGCGUUAUUGAUUUCAAAUUAAUCGUGUGUGUUACUGUGAUGAGGUAGGCUACUCCUACCCAUCACCAAUACAUAACAGACAUUUUUAUCAUAAACAUACAAAGACUCUUAAAUACUUCUUAUACUUACCGUCUUGGGGAAAUCUCUGGUGCAG
rnacentral:lncRNA from 1 species